AUACGGAGGGUGCAAGCGUUAAUCGGAAUUACUGGGCGUAAAGCGCACGCAGGCGGUCAAUUAAGUCAGAUGUGAAAGCCCCGAGCUUAACUUGGGAAUUGCAUCUGAAACUGGUUGGCUAGAGUCUUGUAGAGGGGGGUAGAAUUCCACGUGUAGCGGUGAAAUGCGUAGAGAUGUGGGGGAAUACCGGUGGCGAAGGCGGCCCCCUGGACAAAGACUGACGCUCAGGUGCGAAAGCGUGGGGAGCAAACAGGAUUAGAUACCCUGGUAGUCCACGCUGUAAACGAUGUCGAUUUAGAGAUUGUGGUCUUGAACUGUGGCUUCUGGAGCUAACGCGUUAAAUCGACCGCCUGGGGAGUACGGCCGCAAGGUUAAAACUCAAAUGAAUUGGCGGGG
rnacentral:rRNA from 1 species